rnacentral:rRNA from 1 species
CACGUAGGGCGCAAGCGUUGUCCGGAAUUAUUGGGCGUAAAGAGCUCGUAGGUGGUUUGUUGCGUCUGCUGUGAAAACCUAGGGCUUAACCCUGGGCUUGCAGUGGAUACGGGCAGACUAGAGGUAGGUAGGGGAGAAUGGAAUUCCCGGUGUAGCGGUGAAAUGCGCAGAUAUCGGGAGGAACACCGGUGGCGAAGGCGGUUCUCUGGGCCUGACCUGACGCUGAGGAGCGAAAGCGUGGGGAGCGAACAGG